rnacentral:tRNA from 1 species
GAGGAUAUAGCUCAAGUGGUAGAGCGCAUGCUUAGCAUGCACAAGGUCCUGGGUUCAAUCCCCAGUAUCUGCU